rnacentral:rRNA from 1 species
GAUGAACGCUAGCGGCAGGCCUAACACAUGCAAGUCGAGGGGUAACAGGGUAGCAAUAUCGCUGACGACCGGCGCACGGGUGAGUAACACGUAUGCAACCUUCCUUUAACUGGGGCAUAGCCCGGAGAAAAUCGGAUGAAUACCCCAUAACAUCAUAGAAAGGCAUCUUGCAGUGAUUAAAGCUCCGGCGGUUAAAGAUGGGCAUGCGUACCAUUAGCUAGUUGGUGAGGUAAUUGCUCACCAAGGCUACGAUGGUUAGGGGGUCUGCGAGGAUGAUCCCCCACACUGGUACUGAGACACGGACCAGACUCCUACGGGAGGCAGCAGUGAGGAAUAUUGGGCAAUGGGCGCAAGCCUGACCCAGUCAUGCCGCGUGAAGGUAGAAGGCCCUAUGGGUUGUAAACUUCUUUUAUACGGGAAGAAACUUCCGAACGUGUUCGGGAUUGACUGUACCGUAGGAAUAAGCAUCGGCUAACUCUGUGCCAGCAGCCGCCGCCGUAA